rnacentral:rRNA from 1 species
GAUGAACGCUGGCGGCGUGCCUAAUACAUGCAAGUAGAACGCUGAAGGAGGAGCUUGCUCUUCUGGAUGAGUUGCGAACGGGUGAGUAACGCGUAGGUAACCUGCCUGGUAGCGGGGGAUAACUAUUGGAAACGAUAGCUAAUACCGCAUGACAACAGUUAUUGCAUGAUAACUGUUUAAAAGGGGCAACUGCUCCACUACCAGAUGGACCUGCGUUGUAUUAGCUAGUUGGUGAGGUAACGGCUCACCAAGGCGACGAUACAUAGCCGACCUGAGAGGGUGAUCGGCCACACUGGGACUGAGACACGGCCCAGACUCCUACGGGAGGCAGCAGUAGGGAAUCUUCGGCAAUGGACGGAAGUCUGACCGAGCAACGCCGCGUGAGUGAAGAAGGUUUUCGGAUCGUAAAGCUCUGUUGUAAGAGAAGAACGAGUGUGAGAGUGGAAAGUUCGCACUGUGACGGUAUCUUACCAGAAAGGGACGGCUAACUACGUG